ACCAAGAAAUGCAGAAGAGGAAAGAGAUGCAGCUCAGACAAGAGGAAGAACGUCGCAGACGUGAAGAAGAAAUGCUGCGGAAGAGGGAUAUGGAAGACCAAAUGCGCCGUCGUGAAGAGAACUACAGGAUGGGCAACUUUAUGGAUAGGGACAGGGAGAUGAGAAUGCAUUCCACUGGAGCUCUGGGCAUGGGAGGUAAGCUUGAGAUGAUUGUUCGGUCACUUUUUUCUCAUGUUUUCUGUAUUUAGUUCUAUUCUAAUUCGAUCAAGGACAUUUUGCACAUGUAACCGGAUCUAUUACUUACUCAUGUCAUCUGUUUCCAAAUGGCGGAG